rnacentral:SRP_RNA from 1 species
AUUUGCGGAAAUGGCCGUAAACCUGGUCAGAGCAGAAAUGCAGCAGCCAUAGCGGUUUAUUUUCGGGUUUUG